GGAAUAUUGGUCAAUGGGCGAGAGCCUGAACCAGCCAAGUCGCGUGAAGGAUGAAGGUUCUAUGGAUUGUAAACUUCUUUUGUCCGAGGGUAAAGGAGUCCACGUGUGGAUUUUUGCAAGUAUCGGACGAAUAAGCAUCGGCUAACUCCGUGCCAGCAGCCGCGGUAAUACGGAGGAUGCGAGCGUUAUCCGGAUUUAUUGGGUUUAAAGGGUGCGUAGGUGGUUUGUUAAGUUUGUGGUGAAAGCGUGCGGCUCAACCGUACCAAGCCAUGAAAACUGGCGAACUUGAGUGCAAACGAGGUAGGCGGAAUGUGAUGUGUAGCGGUGAAAUGCUUAGAUAUGUCACAGAACCCCGAUUGCGAAGGCAGCUUACCAGCAUGCAACUGACACUGAGGCACGAAAGCGUGGGUAUCAAACA
rnacentral:rRNA from 1 species